rnacentral:rRNA from 1 species
AGUGAACGCUGGCGGUAGGCCUAACACAUGCAAGUCGAACGGCAGCACAGUAAGAGCUUGCUCUUACGGGUGGCGAGUGGCGGACGGGUGAGGAAUACAUCGGAAUCUACUUUUUCGUGGGGGAUAACGUAGGGAAACUUACGCUAAUACCGCAUACGACCUACGGGUGAAAGCAGGGGAUCUUCGGCCCUCGCGCGAUUGAAUGAGCCGAUGUCGGAUUAGCUAGUUGGCGGGGUAAAGGCCCACCAAGGCGACGAUCCGUAGCUGGUCUGAGAGGAUGAUCAGCCACACUGGAACUGAGACACGGUCCAGACUCCUACGGGAGGCAGCAGUGGGGAAUAUUGGACAAUGGGCGCAAGCCUGAUCCAGCCAUACCGCGUGGGUGAAGAAGGCCUUCGGGUUGUAAAGCCCUUUUGUUGGGAAAGAAAAGCAGCAGGUUAAUACCCCGCUGUUCUGACGGUACCCAAAGAAUAAGCACCGGCUAACUUCGUG